rnacentral:rRNA from 1 species
UACGGGGGGGGCAAGCGUUGUUCGGAAUUAUCGUGGCGUAAAGGGCUCGUAGGUGGCCAACUAAGUCAGACGUGAAAUCCCUCAGCUUAACUGGGGAACUGCGUCUGAUACUGGAUGGCUUGAGAUUGGGAGAGGGAUGCGGAAUUCCAGGUGUAGCGGUGAAAUGCGUAGAUAUCUGGAGGAACACCGGUGGCGAAGGCGGCAUCCUGGACCAACACUGACACUGAGGAGCGAAAGCCAGGGGAGCAAACGGG